UACGAAGGGGGCUAGCGUUGCUCGGAAUCACUGGGCGUAAAGGGUGCGUAGGCGGGUCUUUAAGUCAGGGGUGAAAUCCUGGAGCUCAACUCCAGAACUGCCUUUGAUACUGAGGAUCUCGAGUCCGGGAGAGGUGAGUGGAACUGCGAGUGUAGAGGUGAAAUUCGUAGAUAUUCGCAAGAACACCAGUGGCGAAGGCGGCUCACUGGCCCGGUACUGACGCUGAGACGCGAAAGCGUGGGGAGCGAACAGG
rnacentral:rRNA from 1 species